rnacentral:rRNA from 1 species
CCUACGGGAGGCAGCAGUGGGGAAUAUUGCACAAUGGGGGAAACCCUGAUGCAGCGACGCCGCGUGAGCGAUGAAGUAUCUCGGUAUGUAAAGCCCUAUCAGCAGGGAAGAAAAUGACGGUACCUGACUAAGAAGCCCCGGCUAACUACGUGCCAGCAGCCGCGGUAAUACGUAGGGGGCAAGCGUUAUCCGGAUUUACUGGGUGUAAUGGGAGCGUAGACGGCGGUGCAAGCCAGAUGUGAAAGCCCGGGGCUCAACCCCGGGACUGCAUUUGGAACUGUGCUGCUAGAGUGUCGGAGAGGCAGGCGGAAUGCCUAGUGUAGCGGUGAAAUGCGUAGAUAUUAGGAGGAACACCAGUGGCGAAGGCGGCAUGCUGGACGAUGACUGACGUUGAGGCUCGAAAGCGUGGGGAGCGAACAGGAUUAGAUACCCUUGUAGUC